AUUAUUAUUCUCCUGCUCUUGUUGUAUCGCUGCAGACAGUCCAAGUAUUCCUGCUUCACCAGGUCGAUCCAGUCUGAGAGUCACAGUCCGGGCUCCUCCACAAAUCAUGGAGUCAACCAGGAUGAAACUCAUGUGUACGGCUCUCUUCAACAUGGUACUGAUGACGUCUAUGAAUCAGUCACACAAGUGACAAACAGAAAUGAUUCAUGCUUCACCAGGUCGAUCCAGUCUGAGAGUCACAGUCCGGGCUCCUCCACAAAUCAUGGAGUCAACCAGAAUGAAACUCAUGUGUACGGCUCUCUUCAACAUGGUACUGCUGACGUCUAUGAAUCAGUCACACAAGUGACAAACAGAAAUGGUUCAGAUGAAUACGAUGAUGUCACCUCCUCUCUUAUUGAGUUUCAAGAUCUUCGAACUAAGAAUAUCUGCAUGGAAGUAAAACCAGAUGAUUGCAUCCUCCACACAGAUACAGAGUCUGCCUGCACCUUCUAAACAAAGUAUGUAAGGAAGCCACAGGUGGGACAGACACAGGGGGAGCCAGUGACCCCUCACACACGUCCUUAUGCUGAUAUCCAGGCAGGUUCUCAGUGUUUGUAGCUGCUGAUUUAUACAGCAAGCAUUUCCACGGUCCUGUGAGGUCGGAGCUGGAUUCUUCCAUUCAUUUAAACACUGCAGCAGAUUAUAGAAACUCUUCUUUUCUCAGCUCACAACAGAAGAUCUCUCCACUCCAUUACAUAUUCCAUGUGUAUGGGGUAUGACCCCCUCUUGGUCGUAGAGUGUAGAUACUUGUUUAAGAUACUCGGCUAGCCCGGCCACACCCCACAGCUUACAUAUAAACGAGCUGUGCAAACGUGACCUCGGUGAUAGUUUGAUCUCAACUUGUUUGUGUGUGUGAUUGACCGGUGGUACCUACUUGUGUGACUGUGUGUGUGUUAAGCUGCUUUUAUUUGUUUUUAAAUGUUUGUCCAAUGCUGCCCCUCUGUACCUCUCUGAGCUUCUUCAU